rnacentral:rRNA from 1 species
AUCGAACGCUGGCGGCGUGCCUAACACAUGCAAGUCGAACGAGUGGCGGACGGGUGGGUAAUGUCUUGGAAACUGCCUGAUGGAGGGGGAUAACUACUGGAACCGGUAGCUAAUACUGCAUAAGAUCGUAUGUGGCCAGAUGGGAUUAGCUAGUAGGUGGGGUAAAGGCUCAUCUAGGCGACGAUCCCUAGCUGGUCUGAGAGGAUGACCAGCCACACUGGAACUGAGACACGGUCCAGACUCCUACGGGAGGCAGCAGUGGGGAAUAUUGGACAAUGGGCGCAAGCCUGAUGCAGCCAUGCCGCGUGUAUGAAGAAGGCCUUCGGGUUGUAAAGUACUUUCAGCGGGGAGGCGUUACCCGCAGAAGAAGCACCGGCUAACUCCGUGCCAGCAGCCGCGGUAAUUC